UACGGGGGGGGCAAGCGUUGUUCGGAAUUACUGGGCGUAAAGGGCUCGUAGGUGGCCAACUAAGUCAGACGUGAAAUCCCUCGGCUUAACCGGGGAACUGCGUCUGAUACUGGAUGGCUUGAGUUCGGGAGAGGGAUGCGGAAUUCCAGGUGUAGCGGUGAAAUGCGUAGAUAUCAGGAGGAACACCGGUGGCGAAGGCGGAUCUCUGGGCCAUUACUGACGCUGAGGAGCGAAAGCGUGGGGAGCAAACAGG
rnacentral:rRNA from 1 species